rnacentral:lncRNA from 1 species
AGAAAGAUUGAGCGACGGAAGCGUCAAUGCUUGCUUCAACUUCGCACUCAAGUGCUCAAGUAUAUCCUUGUGUCUGGCGGCACUGGCCCUUCCAAUAUCCAUAUCCAUGAAGGAUACGUACUCAAGUAUCGAAUCCUUGAGGAACUUCAAAUCUUCCUCUGAAGAAGCAGCAGGAUGAUCAGAUGGAGCAGGGCGAGACGUCUGGACUU